GUAACUUCUGAUUCUACAAAUGUGGCAAAUUUUUGCUCUGAAAUUGCUACACCACAGGAAUUAACUCCAAGGUUGGAAGAUGCAGGCCAAGAGACAAAGACUCAUUUGCUGUGGACCUGCAGGGUGGGGGCGGGGUAGCCCAAGAGUGUGUGCAGAGGUGAAAGAAAGUAGAGGGUGGUCUGAAGGGGGAUAAGGAACAGACUCAGAGAACACAGGAAAUAAUUAACUUGAAAGCCUGACAGAGAAUGAAAGACUACAUGAGGGUUUCAAGAAGGGAAGGUGAGCUCACAGUGGCUCAAGGUCCACACAGAAAACUGCUAACAGAUGCUGAACUCAAGAUUGCAGGACAAAUGCUUAGAAAAAGCACUGGCUUGGUUUCAGGGCAGCAGGGGAAAUGCCAAAUGUAAUUUAAUGUAGUGACAUGUAACCCAUACUUCCUGAGAAUAAUUAUUAAAACUCUGCAAAA
rnacentral:lncRNA from 1 species